AGUCGCUCGCUCGCUUUCUUUUUUUAAUUUCUUUUCUCUCUCUCUCUAAGGCUGGCACAGAAAAAAAUGGAAAAUGGGAGCUGGAGGGAGGGUGUCCUCUUCUGGCAUAUCUCGGUAGUUUGUUUGCUUGCUUUGAUUUGUUUUUAAACCAUCCUCAUCUCCAUUUAUGCCUCUUAACUCCAUUUUUGCCGCCGACAAAAGAAACAUUUCGCAAAACGAAACUGCUUCUUGUAUAAAAUAAAAGGGUUGUUUUGUGUUUGUUUCCUUUUUGUUUCAUUUUGUCUUUCAUCUUCUUUGGCUGUGUUUUAAAGGAGCUUGCCGCCUCCACCAUCUCAAGUUAGGAAAGUAGAAGUCAACAUUUAUUUUAUGUACAUACCUUGGGCUGCUAACACAGGGAGAAUAGAGAAUGAGCUGCUUGUUUUAACUGGCAUGGGUUGAAAGAAUAGGUAUCGGUUGGAAAUUGCCCUUUGGAAAUGGUUCUCAAUAGAGACUGAGAAACUUUAGAGAUAUUUGCUUGGGAGGGGGGGUUCCAUGGAUUUCCCCCCCCAGUUUGCUAAUAAAGGGAGACUAUUUGAAGGGUAUAUUGAAGUGGAGUUCCAAGUGGAGGAAUUUGUGCCAGCUUCUCUUUAUGCCAGCCUCUUGUCGGCCUUGGCGUCUCAUUCGGAUGAAGCCUGGCAUGCAGGCACCGCCCAUUUCUUGGCGCUGAACUGCUCUGAGAAGGAAAAGGGAGCGCAUGGGGGGGGGGAGAGCUGUUUCACUGAAACUGGCCUUUCUUGAAAAAAGAAACCCUGAUCAUUCCUGAUGAUUGUCCAGAUCAUCGAAGUUAAAGCCAGCGGCUACUGAGCAGCAAAAUCUUUCUCCUUCCCGGCACAUCUCUUUCUGGUACGAAAUCAAAUGUAGCUCUUUUGAAAAUAUUUUAAAAUGCCAUUUUAUUUGUCCAAGUGCUUUGGCACUUGCUACUCCUACAUCCUUUCUUCCCUCCUCCAUUCUUCUUGUUUUUUGUGUUAAAAAAUUCCAUUUUUUAAAACCAACCCAACUUGUUGGUGGACUUUAUUAUUUAUUAUUUCUCCUGACUGUUAAUCAGGAUUUCCUUUUGAUUUUUCAAAAUAUUUUGAUUCUGGGUAAUUGGAAGCUAAGUUUUUUUUUUUAUUUUGGAUUUUUGCCACCCUACGCAGGAGAAAGAAAAUUGUUGAAUCAUAUCAGACUUGCAAUUCAACAUGGCAGCCCCUGCUAAGACUGUCUAGUUUUGCAAGGCUGAAAGACAUUGCAAGAAAUGCUCCUUUCUGGGGACAUAAAUUUUGAGAGAGCUAACAAAGGGAUAAAGAAAUAAUUAGCUCUUUGGAGGAAUGAUUGGGGGGAAUUUUAUAUGCUGUCUUCAAGAAGAGGGAGAAUUCGGCCAUGUUAUCCUCAUCUCAGUAUUUUAAAAAGAGAGAGAAUGGAUUCUACUGGAUGCAGAAAUGAUGGCAGAAGAUUGCAUUUGAUCAGCCAUCUUUAUCUGAACCUCAAGACCAUCAAUGUUCUUAGCCAUCAUUGAAGUUUGCCAGUCCUAACCAUCAAAACAAUGCUGUCCUUGAGGCUGAGGUAGUAGAUUGAAUAGUUGUGGAGCCAUCUUCUCCCUUUGAGCUAACUAUACAAUCUACUGUCUUUCCUAAGGAGACAGUCAAUUCAACUGCUCCCAUGGGAUUACCCAUUCCUACAUGCAAGUUAUUGACAUGAACAAUGAUCAAUUUGGGGGCCUUGGGUGUCAGGAAUGCAGUUCUACAAAUAUGCAAAUGUGUGAGGCCUUUGUGUUGCUUUGUGGAGGUGAGGUAGUAGGUUGUAUAGUUUGUGGGAGGGAUUAAAUCCCAUUUCAGGUGAUAACUAUACAGUCUAUUGCCUUCCUUAAGGAGCAGCAAAUCUGCUUUAAGAGGUGAAUGAUAUAGCUAUUAUAUGCCAUACUGAGCAACCCAACAAAACCCUGGCUCCUUCCUGAUUCUAAAUUGGAAGAAAAACUUCUACCUGUAUUCUGGAUUAAAUAAAAAAUCAUGCACUUUUUUUUUUUUGCUAGAUUUCCUCAUAUGAUAUGUUCCUUUUCUCUUUUUCCACCUUGGAUUUCCCUUUCUCAUCCUUCCAGCACACCCACAUUGCAACUCUGCCCUUUCUCCCGCAUCUGUGGAAAUCUAGCCAUCAAAGAUUUAUGUUGAACACUUGGUAGUUUAAUUAAAAGCCUUCCUAUAUUUGACCUUAUCUCUCAUGGCAAAGUGAUCUUAUAUACCUAGCUAGCCAAUGUAAUGGCACUCAUUCAAAAAUAUAUUAGCAUGCUAAAAUAUAUACAUCCUAAUAGGAGCUUGGAUACAAUUUCCUUGGGGCUGGGAACUAGCAUAUAUAUUAGCUUUCCAAACACUAGUCAUGUGCCCAGGUGGCUGUGUGAUCCCAACUUCCAGUCUUUUUUCUCUCUGAAAGGUGCUAAAGAAGGUUGUUGUAAUCUGCCCCUUAUGCAAAUGUAACAUAAUACAAAUGAUAUUUGUGUAUGUCUGCUUCCAAGUGUGAAAUUGGGAUAAUGCUAUUAGGAAGUGUCAACACACAAGAAACGAUUGCUUCGUUUAUUUGGCUUGUUAUCAUUAUUGCAAAAGCUUUUGUUGCUCAUGUCAUUAUAGAUUUGCUGAAAUUAUAUUCAUUUCACUUCUCCUUCCUUCCUGCGGUGGCAGGAGCAGCACAGCUGGCUUCCCUCAUUAUUGAGGCAUGUGUCUGUGGAAGUCUGCCCCAUUUGUUUCCUAGGUUGGCAACCUCAGGGCAGGAGAGCCCAUUUUCUUCUGAUCUGGCCCAGACUUCCCAUCUUUGUUUUUUGGAUUUAAAAUGGUUGAAUUUUGAGGGGUUGGGAAGCGCAGCUUUCUCAUUGGUGAAAUCUCUCACCAAUGCCUGACCCCGGUCCUCCCCUUCCCCAGCAGCAGUAGGCCAGGUCCUUCUCCAUGACACUUCAAUGCUCUCACACAGGGCUUCAGGGAAGUUUAGCAAGCAGUUUUCUUAUAUUCCCCACUAUUGUGAAUACGUGGUGCAGCAGAACAAGGAGAGAGAGGGGGGAAUCUUGGCUGGCAGCCAUUUUUUGUGCUCGUCAGAGGAAGGGACUGCUGGUAACUCAGCCUGAGUUUUCAGGAUAAUUGUCUGAGAGUGAGUGUAGUAGAAGACUGGAUGUGUUUUUUGUUGUUGCUUUUUUUAAAAAGCAUUGGUGAUGUGAAAAGAUCCUUAUCUGUCAGAAUGCCCUGAAUGUUACAUUAUUUCAGGAUACUUGUUGUUCAUUUAUUUAUUUAGUGAAUGGCAUAUCAUACAUGGACUAGCAAAAUAUAUUAACAUUUCACCUAGAUUAGUAAAACACAGUAAGAUAUAAAUGUUAAAAAGCUCUAUGUUCAAAUACUAAUGUCUAGGCCAUCUAAGCAUUGAAACGCAGUAUCAUUUGUAUUUUAAAAAAAUCACCUACUGAACCAGUGUAUGUCCUCAGCUUACAGCCAAUCAUGCUGUGAUCUACAGUUUGACAUGGGACCCGCAGUCACACUUAGGAGAGGAUACUAUGCCCCAUUUAAACAGAAUCUCAGCAGACGCUGUGAGAGGUGUCAAUCCUAUUCAGAAUUGUCCAUUGCUGAGGUGGUAGUUCAAAGCCUGGCACCUUUUUUGUGGGGUCAUUAUAUGUCUGCCUGUAUCUAUGUCUGCCUGCAUUCAGCAACCCAUUUGGCUUUCCAUUGGGAAUCAAUGCUAAAGUUGUUGGGCAGACGAUGUGUAAGUGCCAAUGGAGGCUUCCAGGUUUUGAGUCUUCUGGUUAAUAAAUGAGGAAGAUCAGCAUGCAGUGGUAGAAGUGAGUUGUUCAUAAUUUUUCUAUAUUCUUUCACUAAUGAUCUUUUCUUUGUAAAGCUGGUGGUGCUAUAUGGAUCAGAACAGGAAGCCAGCAAGUCAGAGUAGUUUUAAUACAUACACUUAUAAUCCUCAUGGUGUCAUUGAGUCUGGCAUCUAACUUACUAGUAGGCAGCUGUUAAGCCAUACAGGGGCACAAUAUUCUGCUGCGGAGUAGACCAAUUCUAGUGCUGAUGACCUGAGGGUGGCAGCUGAAGCUCCCCAUUUAGUUCCACAUAAUUUCUAGAAUAUGUUGUUCCUAGUAUUCAUUUUUGCUGCCAGAUUCUCUAGAUGUAUCUUAUAAGAGGGAGUCUGUUCCAAUGUUACUUCAAGGUACUUUGGAUGGGGAUUAUAAAGAAGCAAGUUGUUGUUUGGGUAAAUAUUGCAGCUGACAUUUUCAAAAAAAAUGAUCAUGUAAUCAUGAAGCAAAUAAAAAUAAAAUAGCAAUCCUCAAAAUCAGCAUUAACAUAGAUACUAAUAUAAAUGCAUUCUUUUACCCCUCUUUCAAACCAAUGAUUUAAAAGAACCCAUCUAUGUUAGAACUGAAUACCCCUCCCUCAACAGACGGGGAGGAAUAGGAGACCACCUAGCUCCAGUUUACAAAACAAUUCCUGCAGCAGUUCCAAGAAGAUUUCACAACAAACUGCACUCUGUUUCAGGCGAUCCUGAGGGCACAGAUAAACCUCCAAGUGGCCUCAACAGCUAUCAGAGAGAGUUCUAAUGACCAGAUGACUGCAAAGAAAUACAAUCCUUCUAUCCCCCCACCAUCGUAUCAGAACCUAUUCUUCCAUCUUCCCACCAUCCAAUCUCAAUUGUCAGUACCUAUCCUUCCAUCCCCCCAUCAGAACUGAUGAAGCUUUUUGGAUGAGAAGUGAAACGUUUUCUUCCUCCUCCUCAAGAAAAACUGUCCAGUUGCCUUUUGAAGAAAAAAAAAAGCACCUUUGAGACAACUAUGACUUGGAUGACUAAGAAUCUCCACAGACAUACUUCCCACUUUAUUUUUUCAGAUCAGUGGUGUAAAUACCUCUAUAUGUCUAUAUUUGUGCAAGUUUAAAACUUUAGGAGAUAUCAGCCAAUUUGGUGGACUGUGUUACAUAUUGCUUCUGCUGCCUAAUCCUUAAAAUAGUCUGAAGUUGGCCUAUAAUCAUCUCUAGAAUGCAAAAAUUAAAGUUUUAGCAGCUGAAUCACUAUCAGAGCAGAAGUAAGAAACUGAAAGGUAAAUUUCCCCCAACCAAAGCAAGAACCAUCAUGUGCUGCCACUCUAUGGUGCUUUUGGCCAAGAAAAUCAGUUUUAUUAUUAUUUCAGAAGCACCACAGUUGAACUAUCAAUCAAUGGAUGUGGCUCCUGGCUGAUGAUAUAAGAUUAGAUGGCACUAGAGUUCUGAGCUACUGCAAAAAUGUAGUAUGCAAGCAUCUUUUUGCUUUUUCUAACUGUUAUGUAUAUAGUUUUGGCGGGAAGUUAAUUGGUCAAUUGUGAUUGGUCAGCUCCCUGGCCGGCAAGGUAUAUAAAGGGAGCUGUGUUACUGUAACCUUUGCUGAAGUCUCACACUAUAUUAAAGAGCUGUUGUCAUGCA